rnacentral:rRNA from 1 species
UGCAUGGUUGUCGUCAGCUCGUGUCGUGAGAUGUUGGGUUAAGUCCCGCAACGAGCGCAACCCUUGAUUUUAGUUGCCAGCACUUUAAGGUGGGCACUCUAGAAUGACUGCCGGUGACAAACCGGAGGAAGGCGGGGAUGACGUCAAAUCAUCAUGCCCCUUAUGACCUGGGCUACACACGUACUACAAUGGCCAGUACAACGGGAAGCGAAGUCGCGAGAUGGAGCCAAUCCUAUCAAAGCUGGUCUCAGUUCGGAUUGCAGGCUGCAACUCGCCUGCAUGAAGUCGGAAUUGCUAGUAAUCGCGGAUCAGCAUGCCGCGGUGAAUACGUUCCCGGGUCUUGUACACACCGCCCGUCACACCACGAGAGUUUACAACACCCGAAGUCGGUGAGGUAACCGCAAGGAGCCAGCCGCCGAAGGUGGGGUAGAUGAUUGGGGUGAAGUCGUAACAAGGUAGCCGUAUCGGAAGGUGCGGCUGGAUCACCUCCUUUCUA